rnacentral:rRNA from 1 species
AUACGGAGGGUCCAAGCGUUAUCCGGAAUCAUUGGGUUUAAAGGGCCCGCAGGCGGUCAAUUAAGUCAGAGGUGAAAGCCCAUCGCUCAACGAUGGAACUGCCUUUGAUACUGGUUGACUUGAGUUAUACGGAAGUAGAUAGAAUAAGUAGUGUAGCGGUGAAAUGCAUAGAUAUUACUUAGAAUACCGAUUGCGAAGGCAGUCUACUACGUAUAUACUGACGCUGAGGGACGAAAGCGUGGGGAGCGAACAGGAUUAGAAACCCUAGUAGUCC